rnacentral:rRNA from 1 species
UACGGGGGGGGCAAGCGUUGUUCGGAAUUACUGGGCGUAAAGGGCUCGUAGGCGGCCAACUAAGUCGGAUGUGAAAUCCCCAGGCUCAACCUGGGAACUGCAUCCGAUACUGGAUGGCUUGAAUCCGGGAGAGGGAUGCAGAAUUCCAGGUGUAGCGGUGAAAUGCGUAGAUAUCUGGAGGAAUACCGGUGGCGAAGGCGGCAUCCUGGACCGGCAUGGACGCUGGGGAGCGAACAGG